rnacentral:rRNA from 1 species
CCUACGUGUGGCAGCAGUGAGGAAUAUUGGUCAAUGGCCGGAAGGCUGAACCAGCCAAGCCGCGUGAGGGAGGAAGGCGCAGAGCGUCGUAGACCUCUUUUGCCGGGGGACAAAAGGCCGGACUCGUCCGGUCCUGAGGGUACCCGGAGAAAAAGCAUCGGCUAACUCCGUGCCAGCAGCCGCGGUAAUACGGAGGAUGCGAGCGUUAUCCGGAUUCAUUGGGUUUAAAGGGUGCGCAGGCGGGCCUUUAAGCCGGCGGUGAAAUCGCGGGGCUCAACCCCGCCGAGCCGGCGGAACUGGGGGCCGUGAGUGCGGCGGAGGCAUGCGGAAUGCGCGGUGUAGCGGUGAAAUGCAUAGAUAUGAGGAGGAACACCAGUGGUGAAGGCGGAUUGCUAGACUGUAACUGACACUGAGGCACGAAAGCGUGGGGAGCAAACAGGAUUAGAUACCCCAGUAGUC